UUCCUCUAAACAAUUGGCCUUGAACUGUUGCCUUCUCACAAAUUGACUCCUGUCACAGUCAAAGAGUGGUGGAGAAGUAUUAAAAUUCUCUAGUGUGGUACUUGGUUUUUUAGAACCUCUCUUGAGACCCUCCUCAAAAACUGUUGCUCUUGAUCCUGCUGAAGACAUAGAUGUGAAAACAGAAAGAAAUAGGGUACUUUCAGGCUAAAUUGAUAAUGCCAUCAUCUACUUGCGUAAUCUUCAGAAGUGUAUCCUGGAGGAAUGCAUCACUGCACUAAGGUCGCAGUACAAUCACUGACUUUCUCAGUUCAAGCGGGAGAAUGUUUUGGAUUUUUAGGAUCAAAUGGAGCUGGGAAAACCACAACACUUUCAAAGCUGUCUGGAGAAGAAUCCCCAACUGAUGGAACUGCUUUUAUUUUUGGCAAAGAUAUAUGUUCCAAUCCCAGGGCUGCUCGU